rnacentral:lncRNA from 1 species
UGAAUCAUAAAAGUUAUUGGAGUUGCCACUGUCUUGACUAGGGAAACCAGUUUGCUGUGCCAUAAAUGCGAAUCCUUCUUGAAAAUCUGUCUGAUAGGAGACUGAACAGCCAGAUGCACCAGACCACCAAUGACUGGUUUCCCCAGGUGCAUAAACAGGGUCAAUAAUGCUUUCUUCCUUUGGAACUGAACUGGAAACCAGUUUCUCUGACUCAGCCUCCGGCUUAACCUUCACAGGGGAAGCUUUAUUACCCUGAAAACUGCUUGAACAAUUAUCAGGCAAGUGACUGUCAAAACGAUUGUACGGUUUGGCAGAGGGAAGAGGAACUGAGGAAUUACUUUCACAAUUGAAACCGAUCCCUAUUGCACUAGAGAAACCAACAACAGGCUUCCUGUCUGAAGAUCCGUAGUCUACUCUCCCGUGUGUAUCAAAAACCAUCCGGCUGGCACCAUCCGACAGACACUCACUAACACCACUGUCAACAUCAUUCACAGCUUCUUCUUUAUUGGGAAAGAACUGAAAUGCGAAACUGGGGGUAUGUUCUGUUGUAUUGUAGCAAUUUUGAGCAGAAGAGAGAGGGUUAUCCGCACCGUUGGGGAGAGCAUUGGAGUUAUAACAAAAAGCAGACAUGGCAUAGGGUUCGACAGGCUUCUCAUCCGGGCUCAGUGAAAACCAAUCUUUAAGACUCGCGGAGCAAGUACGAGCAGGUGAAGGACUAAGGCCAGAGGCAAGUUUCACAUGGUGAUCAAAAGAACCAGUCCCAGAAGGCGAAUCCCGAGAGGCAAACGAAUCAACCAUCUGAGUUCCUAACGAAGAUAAAUUCCAAGAGAAGUUAAUUGCAAAGUAACUUAAACAAACAGCUUAAGAAGUAAACAAAGAGUUAGCAAAAUACCAUUUUGCAAGUGUGAAUUAUUGUUCAAAAGAAAUAAAUAUAGUUGGUGCCUGUGAGAGAGUCAAACAGAAUCAACAGCUGCUAACCUGCAAUGCAGCUUGAAAGAUCAUAUUUUCUUUGUUUGACUGGAGCCUCGUGCCUCCAGGUUGAUUGAAAGUAUGACCACUUGGAGAAUACUGUGAAGAAACCACCGGGAUUUUCAUAGCUAGAGGUCGAUAUGGGUUUGCAGAUUGACCAUUAGUUUCUAUUAUGUAGACAUCAGAAUCAUCAUCACUGUCGGAUAUACUUUCUGGAGAAAGACUUUGAACUGAUUCAAAGCUCGCAUUUGAGAAAUUAUAAUCAACGCUCCUUGGUUGAAUAUGUUCUUGGUUUACUUGUGUCAGAGAGUCUACAUACCCAUUGAUCUGUGUCGCUGAGCUCGGAUCUGCGGCAACAUAUUGCAAACAUGCAUUUGAAUCAUAAAAGUUAUUGGAGUUGCCACUGUCUUGACUAGGGAAACCAGUUUGCUGUGCCAUAAAUGCGAAUCCUUCUUGAAAAUCUGUCUGAUAGGAGACUGAACAGCCAGAUGCACCAGACCACCAAUGACUGGUUUCCCCAGGUGCAUAAACAGGGUCAAUAAUGCUUUCUUCCUUUGGAACUGAACUGGAAACCAGUUUCUCUGACUCAGCCUCCGGCUUAACCUUCACAGGGGAAGCUUUAUUACCCUGAAAACUGCUUGAACAAUUAUCAGG